rnacentral:rRNA from 1 species
GACGAACGCUGGCGGCGCGCCUAACACAUGCAAGUCGAACGAGAGAGGAAGAGCUUGCUUUUCCGAUCGAGUGGCGAACGGGUGAGUAACGCGUGAGGAACCUGCCUCAAAGAGGGGGACAACAGUUGGAAACGACUGCUAAUACCGCAUAAGCCCACGGCUCGGCAUCGAGCAGAGGGAAAAGGAGCAAUCCGCUUUGAGAUGGCCUCGCGUCCGAUUGGCUAGUUGGUGAGGUAAUGGCCCACCAAGGCGACGAUCGGUAGCCGGACUGAGAGGUUGAACGGCCACAUUGGGACUGAGACACGGCCCAGACUCCUACGGGAGGCAGCAGUGGGGAAUAUUGUACAAUGGGGGAAACCCUGAUGCAGCGACGCCGCGUGGAGGAAGAAGGUCUUCGGAUUGUAAACUCCUGUUGUUGAGGAAGAUAAUGACGGUACUCAACAAGGAAGUGACGGCUAACUACGUGCCAGCCGCCGCCGUAA